rnacentral:rRNA from 1 species
AGCGAACGCUGGCGGCAGGCCUAAUACAUGCAAGUCGAACGGCUCUUCGGAGCAGUGGCGGACGGGUGAGUAACACGUGGGAACGUGCCCUUUGGUACGGAACAACUGAGGGAAACUUCAGCUAAUACCGUAUGUGCCCCCAUUCUUAGCGGGAUGGGUGGGAAAGAUUUAUCGCCGUUGGAGCGGCCCGCGUUGGAUUAGCUAGUUGGUGGGGUAAAGGCCCACCAAGGCUACGAUCCAUAGCUGGUCUGAGAGGAUGAUCAGCCACACUGGGACUGAGACACGGCCCAGACUCCUACGGGAGGCAGCAGUAGGGAAUCUUGCGCAAUGGGCGAAAGCCUGACGCAGCCAUGCCGCGUGAGUGAUGAAGGUCUUAGGAUUGUAAAAUUCUUUCACCGGGGAAGAUAAUGACGGUACCCGGAGAAGAAGCCCCGGCUAACUUCGUGCCAGCCGCCGCGGUAA